UUGAACGCUGGCGGCGUGCCUAACACAUGCAAGUCGAGCGGCAGCGCGGUAGCAAUACUGGCGGCGAGCGGCGGACGGGUGAGCAAUGCUUGGGAAUCUGCCUAUCAGUGGGGGACAACCCGGGGAAACUCGGGCUAAUACCGCAUACGUUCUACGGAAGAAAGCGGGGGUCGCAAGACCUCGCGCUGAUAGAUGAGCCCAAGUCGGAUUAGCUAGUUGGUGAGGUAAAGGCUCACCAAGGCGACGAUCCGUAGCUGGUCUGAGAGGACGACCAGCCACACCGGAACUGAGACACGGUCCGGACUCCUACGGGAGGCAGCAGUGGGGAAUAUUGGACAAUGGGCGAAAGCCUGAUCCAGCGACGCCGCGUGGGUGAAGAAGGCCUGCGGGUUGUAAAGCCCUUUCGUUGGGGAAGAAAAGUGUCGACCUAAUACGUCGGCACCUUGACGUUACCCAAAGAAGAAGCACCGGCUAACUCUGU
rnacentral:rRNA from 1 species